rnacentral:rRNA from 1 species
CAAGACCUUGCGCUUUUGGAGCGGCCGAUGUCUGAUUAGCUAGUUGGUGAGGUAAAGGCUUACCAAGGCGACGAUCAGUAGCUGGUCUGAGAGGACGACCAGCCACACUGGGACUGAGACACGGCCCAGACUCCUACGGGAGGCAGCAGUGGGGAAUUUUGGACAAUGGGGGAAACCCUGAUCCAGCCAUGCCGCGUGAGUGAAGAAGGCCUUCGGGUUGUAAAGCUCUUUCAGCCGGAACGAAACGGUCACGGCUAAUACCCGUGACUAAUGACGGUACCGGAAGAAGAAGCACCGGCUAACUACGUGCCAGCAGCCGCGGUAAUACGUAGGGUGCAAGCGUUAAUCGGAAUUACUGGGCGUAAAGCGUGCGCAGGCGGUUUUGUAAGUCAGAUGUGAAAGCCCCGGGCUUAACCUGGGAACU